rnacentral:lncRNA from 1 species
AGUUGCGAUCAUACCAGCACUAAUGCAUCGGAUCCCAUCAGAAUUCCGCAGUUAAGCGUGCUUGAGAGAUAGUAGUUCUAGGAUGGGUGACCCCCUGGGAAGUCCUCGUGUUGCAACCCCCUUUUUUUCGUUUUUUGGUAUAUUUUAUUUACUAGUCGUUGUAUCUUUGGCGUAGCAUGCGAGCGGCCGAUUUUGUGAAAUGAAGGCAUUGAUGAAGGCGCGCGCGCACACGGCGGGCCAGAGGCGCGUGACGUAGGCCACACAUGAGGCGCGUGGAAAGGUAUAGAGGAAUAUGGAGAAGGUAUUCUUUUGGUUGCUAUCAUACCAGCACUAAUGCACCGGAUCCCAUCAGAACUCCGCAGUUAAGCGUGCUUGGGCGAGAGUAGUACUAGGAUGGGUGACCCGCUGGGAAGUCCUCGUGUUGCAACCC